GACGAACGCUGGCGGCGUGCUUAACACAUGCAAGUCGAACGGAAAGGCCCUGCUCUUGUGGGGUGCUCGAGUGGCGAACGGGUGAGUAACACGUGAGUAACCUGCCCUUGACUUUGGGAUAACUUCAGGAAACUGGGGCGAAUACCGGAUAGGAGCUCCUGAUGCAUGGUGGGGGUUGGAAAGUGUCGGCGGUGGUGGAUGGACUCGCGGCUUAUCAGCUUGUUGGUGGGGUAGUGGCUUACCACGGCUUUGACGGGUAGCCGGCCUGAGAGGGUGACCGGCCACAUUGGGCCUGCGAUACGGCCCAGACUCCUACGUGAGGCAGCAGUGGGGAAUAUUGCACAAUGGGCGGAAGCCUGAUGCAGCAACGCCGCGUGCGGGAUGACGGCCUUCGGGUUGUAAACCGCUUUCGCCUGUGACGAAGCGUGAGUGACGGUAAUGGGUAAAGAAGCACCGGCUAACUACGUG
rnacentral:rRNA from 1 species